AAGUCGUAACAAGGUUUCCGUAGGUGAACCUGCGGAAGGAUCAUUAACACGUAUCCAAACGUUAAAACCCCCCCCGUGAACCUUCAUCCUGCUCUUGUAACCCGCGUAGUUCGCAAUCUCUGAUAAAUCAUAGCCCGGAAAGUUGUAGUGAUUCAGAGACCUCUGGCUACGUGCGAACAUUGGAACAGUUACAAUCGAGCGGUAGUUCUAUAGGCAAUGUUUCUCCAAGCUGUUCUACGAUUCCUGUAGACCGUACACUCGGGCAGGAGCUUUGCCAAAGGGUCCCCAUGCCCCCUAAUAACCCCACAGUUUAAUGUGAAGCUCAAUGUAAUACAUUGGGUAAAAAAACCGAACAACUGUUAACAAUGGAUAUCUUGGUUCUC
rnacentral:misc_RNA from 1 species